rnacentral:rRNA from 1 species
CAGCAGCCACGGUAAUACGUAGGGUGCGAGCGUUAAUCGGAAUUACUGGGCGUAAAGCGUGCGCAGGCGGUUCGUUAAGACAGAUGUGAAAUCCCCGGGCUUAACCUGGGAACUGCAUUUGUGACUGGCGAGCUAGAGUAUGGCAGAGGGGGGUAGAAUUCCACGUGUAGCAGUGAAAUGCGUAGAGAUGUGGAGGAAUACCGAUGGCGAAGGCAGCCCCCUGGGCCAAUACUGACGCUCAUGCACGAAAGCGUGGGGAGCAAACAGGAUUAGAUACCCGAGUAGUCCCUGUCUCUUAUAC